rnacentral:rRNA from 1 species
UACGUAGGGGGCAAGCGUUGUCCGGAAUUAUUGGGCGUAAAGAGCUCGUAGGCGGUCUGUCGCGUCUGCUGUGAAAAUCCAGGGCUCAACCCUGGACCUGCAGUGGGUACGGGCAGACUAGAGUGCGGUAGGGGAGACUGGAAUUCCUGGUGUAGCGGUGAAAUGCGCAGAUAUCAGGAGGAACACCGGUGGCGAAGGCGGGUCUCUGGGCCGUAACUGACGCUGGAGGAGCG